rfam:Hordeum vulgare subsp. vulgare, WGS project CAJW01000000 data, contig: morex_contig_51110
AAAAUACUCCCUCCGUCCGAAAUUACUUGUCAUAAAAGUGAAUAAUAAUUGAUGUAUCUAGAAAUAAAAUACAUCUAAAUACAUUCAUUCUUCCGACAAGUAUUUGUGGAUGGAGGGAGUAUAUG